rnacentral:rRNA from 1 species
GAGUUUGAUCCUGGCUCAGGACGAACGCUGGCGGCGUGCCUAAUACAUGCAAGUCGAGCGGAUUUAGUCGGGAGCUUGCUCCUGGCUAGGUUAGCGGCGGACGGGUGAGUAACACGUAGGUAACCUGCCCGUAAGGCCGGGAUAACAUCCGGAAACGGAUGCUAAUACCGGAUACGCAAUUCCUUCGCAUGGGGGGAUUGGGAAAGGCGGUUCCGAUUGAAUUCGGGCUGCCGCUUACGGAUGGACCUGCGGCGCAUUAGCUGGUUGGUGGGGUAACGGCUCACCAAGGCGACGAUGCGUAGCCGACCUGAGAGGGUGAUCGGCCACACUGGGACUGAGACACGGCCCAGACUCCUACGGGAGGCAGCAGUAGGGAAUCUUCCGCAAUGGACGAAAGUCUGACGGAGCAACGCCGCGUGAGUGAGGAAGGCCUUCGGGUCGUAAAGCUCUGUUGCCAGGGAAGAACGGGUAGGAGAGUCACUGCUCUUGCCAUGAC